GAUAUUACUGAAACUGUCCUUUAAGAUUGGUGGGAAACCUCAUGCCUAACAGCUGAAUGCGUAUCUCCAGGCCUCCUUGUUUGGUCCUUAGGCUCUUCACUAGACCUGCCCCACACCUUCCCAUUGUUGUUGUUGUUGUUGUCAUCCAUCUGCCUUUGAGAGACGAUGGAGUGCGUCUCCGGAGAUGAAGUCAAACUGCCGCAGUGACCUCUCCAAGGUGCAAGCCUCAGCAGAGUGUGUGGAGGUCCUGGACUGCCUAGACAACAAGACUCCCCUCUCUGCCUCACUGGUCCAGAGAAAAGCAGAGCAAGAGGUCUGACACCAGCUUGGCUGCAGGAAUUGGCAGAAGGAGGCAAGCAAGGCACUAUCCAACUGCCUUAGGGACUCCAUUCCGGAUUUGGACAGGGUUUACUCCUUAGCCUUUUCUUUUCCCAAAGAUAUCCUGCAAGGCAAGGUAAAUAUAUUUAUUUAUACCCCCUUUUUGCCCUGACAAGGACUCAAGGCAAGGUUUUUCUUGGCCCAGGUGUCUUUUUGAACAACAACAGCGCCUCUUGCUUUCCCGGAUGGAAAUGUAUGUAGGUACAAAUCUCUCACUUUUACAUUGCUGGGAUAUAAUUUGCCAUUGAAAGGUAGGAGUCUUCCCUGUUGCUCUGUGCAGUCUUGUCUCUAGCCUUCCCAGCCCUGGCAGGUGGCUGAUGGCAGCUGAAGUCUAACAACAUCUGGAGAGCCAGAUGUUUCCCAUCCCUGAUGUCUGGGUAGGACUUGAAGCAAACCAGCCACAGGUGAGAAAUUGUAAGUGGGACUGCAGGAGAGCUUGCUUGUGUUUUCAUGCUGGUUAGUUGUUCAUUCUUCACUGUUGUUCGGCAAUGGUGAAGGGUGACUUUGUUGCAAAGGGCAUCUUAAUUUUGAUUAAACACUCCGGAGUGCCUGUGUUUUCAGAUGAAAACCGACACACAGCUUAUUUACAGAACCUGACAUGCAGAGAUAUUAUCUGGUUCAGGCAAGGUUGUAUUGAGAAACAACCCUACAAAUUUGCAUUGGCUAUAUCAAGAUCAUGAUACUGCCUUUAUUUAUCUGGAAUUAGUAAGACACAACCAGGAAGAGGGGAGUGGGGGGAAGCCUAGGAUUCAUUUCUGAAAAGUUUAAUUCCAGAUCUCACUUCAAUAGCCAAUCCUGAUACCUCUCCCCUGGUUCUCUGUUUGAUUUUGGAGAUAAUCUAAAUUGCAUUUGGCUCUAUAGGGAACACAAAUUUUAAAAAUUCAAAAUUAAAACCAAUAAAUCUGAAAGGAGGCAAAUACUGCUGCAUGGGUCUUGUGCAAAUGUAUCAUUCCAGCUUCAGCAUUUAGUACUGUCUUGUCUCUGUCUAUUCCCACCUCUUCAUCUGUUGUCUCCCUUGUAUCGUAAGUUCCACAUGGGCAUGAAGUUGUUCUCCCAUCUUUGUGAAGCACCAGGGACACGGACGGUGCUAAAGCAAUAAAUAAAAACCGGAACAACUGACGAUUGUAUGUUUAAAGAAGGAACAGUGUACGGAGAGGCUGUACCACGAUCAUUCUUGUCUCAGUGUGGAUGGUUCUCCUCAUGCCAAAAUGUAAACAGGAGGCAGGCUAGAAUAUUGUGGUGGGCAGAGUUUUGAGCUUGAGAGAAGUCCUGGGUUCAGUACCAGCUGAAUGAUAAAGUUCGCUACAUUCCCAGGUAAUGGUAAAGGUAAAGGACCCCUGGACAGUUAAGUCCAGUCAAAGGUGACUAUGAGGUUACGCCGCUCAUCUCACUUUAAGACGGAGGGAGCUGGCGUUUGUCCGCAGGUAGCUUUCCGGGUCAUGUGGCCAGCAGGACUAAACCACUUCUGGUGCAAUUGAAAUAGGGGGGGGGGGACCCCUGACCAUUAGGUCCAGUCGUGGCCGACUCUGGAGCUGCGGCGCUCAUCUCACUUUAUUGGCCGAGGGAGCCAGUGUACAGCUUCCGGGUCUUGUGGCCAGCAUGACUAAGCCGCUUCUGGCGAACCAGAGCAGCGCACGGAAACGGCGUUUACCUUCCCGCCGGAGCGGUACCUAUUUAUCUACUUGCACUUUUGACGUGCUUUCAAACUGUUAGGUUGGCAGGAGCAGGGACCUAGCAACAGGAGCUAACUCCAUCGUGGGGAUUUGAACCGCCGACCUUCUGAUCGGCAAGCCCUAGGCUCUGUGGUUUAACCCACAGCGCCACCUGCAUGAAAUACUGUUAUGGAAACCAGAGUGCAUGGAAACACCGUUUGCCUUCCUGCAAUCCUAACCACUAGACCACCAGGGAUAUUCACCAGGCCCCAUCUCCAAGCCUUGAAUCUACCUCCAAGAGAUGAUGCGCAGGUGAAAUUGGGGAACUAGUUACUAUUGAACGACUUGGCAAAAGGGCAGGUUGCAAACGUGACAUAGAGGUAGACUGACUAAUAUGCAGCCGAUGAGAGAGGGUUGGAUGUGCAUCAAGUGAAAAUCUAAAAAAACCAAAACAAAAAAUCCUUGGUUGGGGACGCUUAGUUCAGUCUCCUGGGAUCAGCUCACACAAACCACUUUGCCUACAUUGGAGCCAUCCCAAGCGUUUUUUCUUUAGGCAUGUGAAAAAUUGCUAGGAGCAAUUCAGCGUGAUGGAGCAGCGCCUUUCCUGCAUGCUGUGAUCCAGCUGGUUAUAUAUAUUCACAAUUGCUUUGAUCAAAAGUGACAUUAUCCAUGCAAGUGCACACCUGGGGGAACGUUAGGUCUGCCCAUGGGUGGCAAAUGUAUACCUGCCGUACAUCCUGUCUGAAUCUGGCUUUAGCCUGUGCUGCUCUCUGACCAUCCUCUUUGUCAUCAGGAUUUAGCACCUCACCAUUCCUAUUAGCACAUCAGAUGCUUUUGAUCUUUACAAUAAGGCUUUCGCUGUUCUGUUCCUUUUGUUACUUGUCUGCAGCAGCCUGUGUUGCCACUGAACUGUCUCAGGGGAAGAAGGUAGCUCCCUGGUAGAGCAUCUCAUUUGCACGCAGAAGACCCCAGGUUCAGUUCCUGGCACCUCCUAAGUAGGAGUGAGAAUGUCCCGGUCUGAAACUGCCUCUCACUGUCCACAGUGAUGUGCCUGAUAAUAGGCUGACUAGGUGUUAGGCAGCUGCCUGUAUGAUUUUAUCAUCGCUGUCUAUAUACAGUGCAGGUCUAUACAUUUGGGCACCUGGGACAGACCCCAAAAUGGCGUCCUACUUCCCACCAGGGAAGAAAGGGUGAGGGAACAGCUACAUCAGGAACAAGGGUGGAAGAAAGGUCAACAUUGGGAUCUGCUGCCCCAGUAGAUCCUGCCACCUAAGGUAGUCACCUCAUCUUGCCUCAUUGUUGGGCUGGCCCUGUCUAUAUAGAAUCGUAGAAGUGUAGAGUCGGAAGGGACCCUGACGGUCAUCUACGUUUACAUAAAAGGCUCAGGACCGCAAUACCUCAAUGAUAUGCCUAUCCCCAUAUAAACUGACCUGGACCCUGCAAUCACCAUCCAAGGUCCUUCUCUGUGUGGCCCCUGCAUAUGAGGGUCAGAUGGCGGCAACAUGAGAAUGGGCCUUUUCUGUGGUGGCUCUCUACUUGUAGGAUGCUGUCCUCAGGGACACUUGCCUGGCACCUUCGUUACAUAUCUUUAGGUGCCAGGCAAAAAUAUUUCUCUUCUCCCAGGCCUUUGGCUAAUUAACCAAUUUAUGCCUUUUAAAACUGUGUUGGGUGGGGAGGGUACUGUUUUCGUUUGUUAUUAUGGUAUGUAUUUUUGUGUUUUCAUAUUGUGAACCACCUUGUGAUCCUCAGAUGAAAGUCAGUACAGUCAUACCUCGGGUUACAGACAUUUCAGGUUGCGUUUUUUCAGGCUACAGUACCGGAACGGGUUACUUCUAGGUUUUGGCGGUCGCGCAUGCGCAGAAGCGCUAAAUUGCAACCUGCACAUGUGCAGACACGCCGCUGCGGGUUGCGAACAUGCAUCCCGCACGGAUCACAUUCGCAACCCGAGCGUCCACUGUAUAGAAAUUGAACAAAUAAAAUAAAAUAAAUUCUACUGGAAUUAAGUACCACACUCAGGUAGACAUGUACAGGAUUGCAGCCUUUAUGGAUGAUGUUUCAUGUUUCACUUGCAAAGGAUUAGGCCUUGAAGAUCUACAGAGACUGAUAUGAAAAGCAAGGGUUGCAGACCUUAAAAAACAAAAAACAAAACCUGCCCCUUUCUGUGCUUUAACAGCAUAUUGAUCUUCAGACAUUUGCUGGUGAUGAUUCUUAUUUCACCUGUGGUUUUUCCCUAGAUUAUGCUCCUGUGAAAGUUAACUCUACUUUCAGGCCCUCGGAUUCCUUCCCCUCCCACACCCACAAGGCAGAAGAUUAGAAGCCAGUUAUUUUGGUGCACUCGCCCUGCUAUUUCUGCUCCCACUGAACUUCACGAAGGCAAUCGUGACAUCAUAUUAAAACAGCUG